rnacentral:rRNA from 1 species
GAUGAACGCUGGUUGUGUGCCUAAUACAUGCAAGUCGAGCGGACAGACAGGAGUGCUUGCACUCCUUGAAGUCAGCGGCGGACGGGUGAGUAACACGUGGGUAACCUACCUAUAAGACUGGGAUAACUUCGGGAAACCGGAGCUAAUACCGGAUAAUAUUUUCCACCUCAUGGUGGAAUAGUGAAAGACGGUUCUGCUGUCACUUAUAGAUGGACCCGCGGCGCAUUAGCUAGUUGGUGAGGUAACGGCUCACCAAGGCGACGAUGCGUAGCCGACCUGAGAGGGUGAUCGGCCACACUGGGACUGAGACACGGCCCAGACUCCUACGGGAGGCAGCAGUAGGGAAUCUUCCGCAAUGGACGAAAGUCUGACUGAACAACGCCUCGUGAGUGAAGAAGGUUUUCGGAUCGUAAAACUCUGUUGUAAGGGAAGAACAAGUAUCUUAGUAACUGAACGUACCUUGACGGUUCCUUACCUUAAAGUCACGGUCUACUACGUGUCAGCAGCCGUGGUAAUAAGUAUGUGGCAAGCGUUAAUUCUCGGAUUAUUGGGCGUAAAACGCGCGUAAGCGGUUUCUUAGUCUGAUGUGAAAGCCCCCGGCCUCAACCUGGGAGGGUCAUUGGAAACUGGGAGACUUGAGUGCAGAAGAGGAGAGUGGAAUUCCGUGUGUAGCGGUGAAAUGCGCAUAGAUAUGGAGGAACACCGGUGGCGAAGGCGGCUCUCUGGUCUGUAACUGACGCUGAGGUGCGAAAGCGUGGGGAUCAAACAGGAUUAGAUACCCUGGUAGUCCACGCCGUAAACGAUGAGUGCUGAGUGUUGGGGGGUUUCCGCCCCUCAGUGCUGCAACUAACGCAUUAAGCACUCCGCCUGGGGAGUACGGUCGCAAGACUGAAACUCAAAGGAAUUGACGGGGACCCGCACAAGCGGUGGAGCAUGUUGGUUUAAUUCGAAGCAACGCGAAGAACCUUACCAAAUCUUGACAUCCUCUGACAACUCUGGAGACAGAGCGUUCCCCUUCGGGGGACAGAGUGACAGGUGGUGCAUGGUUGUCGUCAGCUCGUGUCGUGAGAUGUUGGGUUAAGUCCCGCAACGAGCGCAACCCUUAUCUUUAGUUGCCAUCAUUCAGUUGGGCACUCUAGAGAGACUGCCGGUGACAAACCGGAGGAAGGUGGGGAUGACGUCAAAUCAUCAUGCCCCUUAUGAUUUGGGCUACACACGUGCUACAAUGGAUGGUACAAAGGGCAGCAAAACCGCGAGGUCAAGCAAAUCCCAUAAAACCAUUCUCAGUUCGGAUUGUAGUCUGCAACUCGACUACAUGAAGCUGGAAUCGCUAGUAAUCGUAGAUCAGCAUGCUACGGUGAAUACGUUCCCGGGUCU